CGCCCUGUACGCGGCGGCCGGCGAGGCGGCGGCACUGGGGCUGCCGCUGGUGGAGAUCGGCAGCUACUGCGGCCGUUCCACGCUGCUGCUGGCCGA
rnacentral:tRNA from 1 species